UACUAAAAUAUAUUGAGUUGGGCCUGAUGG
rnacentral:piRNA from 1 species